UCCAGACUCCUACGGGAGGCAGCAGUGGGGAAUAUUGCACAAUGGGGGAAACCCUGAUGCAGCGACGCCGCGUGAGUGAAGAAGUAUUUCGGUAUGUAAAGCUCUAUCAGCAGGGAAGAAAAUGACGGUACCUGACUAAGAAGCCCCGGCUAACUACGUGCCAGCAGCCGCGGUAAUACGUAGGGGGCAAGCGUUAUCCGGAUUUACUGGGUGUAAAGGGAGCGUAGACGGCAGCACAAGUCUGGAGUGAAAUGCCGGGGCUUAACCCCGGAACUGCUCUGGAAACUGUGAAGCUGGAGUGCAGGAGAGGUAAGCGGAAUUCCUGGUGUAGCGGUGAAAUGCGUAGAUAUCAGGAGGAACACCGGCGGCGAAGGCGGCUUACUGGACUGUAACUGACGUUGAGGCUCGAAGGCGUGGGGAGCAAACAGGAUUAGAUACCCUUGUAA
rnacentral:rRNA from 1 species